rnacentral:rRNA from 1 species
GUUGAACGCUGGCGGCAGGCCUAACACAUGCAAGUCGAACGAGUGGCGGACGGGUGAGUAAUGUCGGGGGAACUGCCUGAGUGAGGGGGAUAACUACUUGAGACGGUCGCUAAUACCGCAUAACAUCAGCUGUGGCCAGAUGGGAUUGGCUAGUUGGUGGGUUGACGGCUCACGAGGGCGCCGACCCCUAGCGCGUCUGAGAGGAACGCCUGCCGCACGGGAACAGAGGGAGAGCCGAGACUCCUGCGCGAGGUAGCAGUGGGAAAUACUGCACAAGGGGCGAAAGCCUAAUGCUGCAAUACGGAGUGAAUGAAGAGUGCCUGAGGGUUGUAAAGUACUGUCAGCGGGGAGGCGUUACCCGCAGAAGAAGCCCCGGCUAACUCCGUGCCAGCAGCCGCGGUAAUUC